ACGCUGCUGCCUCUGAUAUGGAGGCAGCAGCACGGAGUGGCAGGGGUCUCCUCGGAAGUGAGGCCAGAGUGCAUUGAUUGCUGGCCCCGCACCCAGAGACUAUAGAAUAGUUGACUAACUGAUAAGAAUUCAUGAGGUUACUCGGCUAUUCAAUUAACCGAUAUUUAACAUCCCUAUUACAGACAGGACUUCAAAACUCACAGCUGAAGCUCUCCCCCUUACAAAGGAAUACCACUCUAAAAAUGUAAAGGAUUACCUCACCCUUCUUCUCCCAGACACUGCAGCACACGUAGUAUGCAACAUAUCUGGUUCUAAGAGAUUCUGUUAAACACUCAAGCACAAGAACAUAAACUACUCUAUGGAUGAAGCAUUAGCUUAAGACAGAGCUCGCUACUUUCAGUCGGGUACCUGAGAUUAUUAUUACUUUGAUUUACGAUUUAAUAUGUUUUAUUGUCAUUAGUUUUUAUUCACCAGCAGACCAUGAGGUUUCUGCAAGCAGACUGAGCAUCAUGAAUGUCAAAUGCAAGUUGCAUUACUUGGUCUGUAAAUGGCUGUGCUGGAAAAAUAAUUCAAUCUGGAAGUUAUUUAAGUUUCAAUGUAUUUUCAUGCUUUUAUACAAACACUCCUUAUGUUUUAUUGAUAACACAUAUGCAUUAAGUCCCUUUAUUUAACAGAUUUACCAGGAGGCCUUACACUGGUAUCUCUCCAGACUGAUCCAUCUUUGCCAAUAUAUCUAAUGGGACAAAAAUCUCAUUACAGGAUUUCAAAAUGUAAAGGGGCUCACUGACUUGAACUUGCUCAGCUAAACAGCUGGGAGUGCUUGACCAUACUCUGCAGUUAUAAGAAGUCAGGAGCAGUGCAGUGGUCUUAUUUUCCAGUGUGCUCUUCUGAUGCUCAAUAGUAAUCUGCUGCCUAACUCAGAAGUGCUACUGUUUUGUUCCAGAAGGCACUCCUAUUUGAUUGAAGCUAAUUUGAUCACAAUGUGGAUCCUUGAAGGAACAAGCAGCAGAGAAGGGGGGGAAUACAUGGGUCUCAGGAGUUCAGAGGACAACCCAAGAGAAAAAAGUGGAAAAAAACGCUGAAUGAAAACAUUUCACGCCCUGCAGUUACAAUCUGAGCAAGGAGAAGACAAGACCUAGGACAACAGUUCAGCAAAGAUGAUAAUCAAGCUGGAAGGAGAUACAAGCACUUUGGAGGACAGGUUUAAAACUCAAAAUUACCUUGACAAGUUGGAGAGCUAGUCUGAAUUCAGCAAGAUGAAAUUCACUGAAGACAAGUGACAAGUACUUUUAGGGAAGAAAAGCAAAUUGACAACGAAAAAUGGUGAAUAACUGUGUAGGUGGCAGUACUACUUACAAGGAUCUGGGGAUUAUAGUGGACUGCAAACAGGAUAUAAAUUGUCAAUGUGAUGCAGUUGCAAAAAAGGCUAAUAUGUUUCUGAGGUGUAUUAACAGGAGUGUUGUAUAUAAGAAAUAGGGAAGUAACUGUCUCACUCUACUUGACAGUGGUGAAGCCUCACACCAGUCCAGUUCUGGGCAACACAAUUUAGGAAAGAUGUGGACAAACUGGAAACAAUCCUGAGGAGAACAACAGAAAAUGAUGUGGAUAAAUUGGAGAGAGACCAAAGCUGGCAACAAAAAUGAUAAAAGCUUUAGAAAACCCGACUUAUGAAGACAGUUUAAAAAGCUAUCAUAGUUAACACUGAGAAAAGAAGCCUGAGGGGGAACAUGGUAAGACUUCCAGAAUGACAAGGGCUGUUAUAAAGAGGACUGGUGAUCUUGUUCCUCAUGGCCACUGAAGGUAAGACAAGAAGUAAUGGGCUUCAUCUGAAGCAAGGGACAUUUAAGUUAGAUAUUGGAAAAACUUCCUAACUGUAAGCGUAAUUAAGCACUGGACGAGGCUUCCAAAGUAGGUCAUGGAAUCUCCAUCACUGGAAGCUUUUAAAAACUAGCUGGACAAACACCUGUCAGGGAUAGUCUAGGUUUAAUUGGUCCUGCUUUGGCACAGAAAGCUGGACUCGAGGACUUCAAGGUCCCUUUUAGCCCUAAAUUUCUAUGAUUCUGUACUAGGGUAGUGUCCCAACCAAAAGCUGCACACAUGAUUCCUACUAGCCAGCUAAUGUUUAAAUUAAAAAUAGAUAUUUAAAUUGGAAUAUACUGCACUAAUCCUGAACAAUAUAGCAACAUCUUACCUGUCUAAGUUGAACUAUGAAUCCUCUUGUCUAAACAAAACAAAGUUUCAGUAUCAUUUCUGUGUCUCUAUAGUUCUCAUUAUUUCAUCUCUUCUUCCUACUAUAAUAUUCCCCAAAACAUGAAAUAUAUAUACAUUUUAUAAAAAAGUAGCAUCAAGACUAGAGCUUCCAUUUAGCAAGAGUGAAUCUGUUCCACUGGAUUCAAAUCUCCAGUUGCCAUUUACACUUUCAAGUGUCAGAAUUGUGGACAAAGCCUGUCUGCACUUGAAAGCUGUUGCAGGUUUUGUGUAUCUGCAUUAAGUGAUGCAGAGCGCUGGCUGCACAAGCAGUUUGUCAAUGCUGCAUUGUAAUCCCCAGCUAAGCACAGUGCUGCAUUGUUUCAAAACAAGAGGUCAGCAUUCUGGGCAGACAUCUCCUGGUAUAUUACUUUCUCACUAGAUUCUAACUAUGUGCAGUAAAAACAAUCCCAGAAUGCAUAAAUAUGUGAUGCUGCAAGGCCUGGCCAAACACUAUGAAAGAUUCACCAGUAUGAAUGUGGGGUGGUCUGCAAAUGAUAAUGGGAUUUUAAACAGUGGCUUGUUUUCUGCAAUGAGAAGCACAACUUUUGUUUCCAUGAACUACUCUAGACACUGAUGAUGUUAUCAUCACUCCUCCUAUUAUUACCCUCUGCUUCCCUGGCUUAUGAAGUCUCCUACUAGAUACUUGGAUUGGAGAAAGGACUUAAGUGGCUGCAGAUUGACAGUGCAACAUGCACUUGGAAGACUGAUGGGUACAUGGAGGCACCUGAUGAUAAGGCUGGAGGCUGAUAACGAGCAGCUUCUAAAAGAUUUGAAAUCUAGAAGCCUCUGUUAAUUGGCUGAGCCUCAGUCAGGGGGAGGGGCUACCA